rnacentral:rRNA from 1 species
AUUGAACGCUGGCGGCAUGCUUUACACAUGCAAGUCGAACGGCAGCGCGGGCUUCGGCCUGGCGGCGAUUGGCGAACGGGUGAGUAAUGCAUCGGAACGUGCCCAGUAGUGGGGGAUAGCCCGGCGAAAGCCGGAUUAAUACCGCAUACGACCUGAGGGUGAAAGCGGGGGACCGAAAGGCCUCGCGCUAUUGGAGCGGCCGAUGUCGGAUUAGCUAGUUGGUGGGGUAAAGGCUUACCAAGGCGACGAUCCGUAGCUGGUCUGAGAGGACGACCAGCCACACUGGGACUGAGACACGGCCAAGACUCCUACGGGAGGCAGCAGUGGGGAAUUUUGGACAAUGGGGGCAACCCUGAUCCAGCCAUGCCGCGUGCGGGAAGAAGGCCUUCGGGUUGUAAACCGCUUUUGUUCGGGAAGAAAUCCUCUGGGCUAAUACCCCGGGGGGAUGACGGUACCGGAAGAAUAAGCACCGGCUAACUACGUG